rnacentral:rRNA from 1 species
UACGAAGGGGGCGAGCGUUGUUCGGAAUCACUGGGCGUAAAGGGCGCGUAGGCGGCCCUCUUAGUCGCGUGUGAAAGCCCCGGGCUCAACCUGGGAACGGCGCGCGAAACGGGAGGGCUGGAGUUCGGGAGAGGAGAGUGGAAUUCCCAGUGUAGAGGUGAAAUUCGUAGAUAUUGGGAAGAACACCGAUGGCGAAGGCAGGUCUCUGGGCCACUACUGACGCUGAGAAGCGAAAGCAUGGGGAGCGAACAGG